UCUUUUCUUUUGCCACCCGGUAAGUGCUCGUGCAAUCCUCCUCUUCCCCUUCCUCGGCGACCUGAACCACAGGCGUGCCCUCCCGUAGCUGGAGAGCCUUUGCUGCCCUAGCACGUCUGCACGCGAGCAGCGGUUCCACGAGCAGCAUCGACGGUGCGGGAGCUGCGCGGAAGCAAGCAGCGGUCGCACGCCCGGGCCCUGCAGAUCUCACCGAGUGCCACGGGCGGCAUCACAUCUCGUGCUGUUCCUGCGUCACUGCAAUUCGCGUGUUGGCCGUGACCGGAGCUUUGCCGUUGCGGGGGCGGGGUGGUGCCCGCGAGGUGUUCGGGACAUUGUACGAGUCGAGCAGAGCAGAUCUGCUGCACGGAUAGCAAGAACGGUUAAUAUUGCACUUAUACUCUACCUUCGAAAUAUUCUCUAAAGUAAGGAGGCCUGCCUAAAUGGACCAAUGUGAGUGAUGGAUGACUUGGAUUUAAAAUAUAACCAACAGUUCUGGAUUAAAGCUAUGGACUAUAGAGUAACAGAUAGUAGCGCAAUCUCCUUUGACACCAGACACCUACUUGGUUUAUGCUUAAGUUCCAUGACAUCUCCCUUGUCUCAAUGGCAGGGUCUGCUAAGAGAACACCAAUUUUGUUGUCUCGGUGGCAGGCACUUAUGCCUUAUUAGUUUGUUGCACCUGUGAUGGAUCCCAGAUGGUGUAUCCGCCACCAAUGUUUGCUGUUACCUGAUUUGCUUAUGCUGAAAUAUCCUGCAAACUAUAUUGCCAUUGAACUGCUAACGCUACAGGAUUGAAUUUCGAAGAUGGAACUUAUGGCUCUCGAAGAGUUGUCCUGAAUGUCUCCAGCACACCCUCUGUUGCAUUGCUCGGAUCUUCAGCAUUCUGACCCUUUGAGAGCCGAAAGCCAUUUCUUGAAGCAAAACAGAGUUUGAUCAUUCGCGGAGGGUUCUCUAGAAGGAGUACAUCAUAGCUUUCUGUACUUACAGACCGUCCAUUUGUGCUUUCUCAGCUGAUGUGUUUGUCAUCUUGAUAGCACCGUGCGUCCUUCCAAACAUAGCCAGCACAUUUCUGUUAUGCUCUGACAUGUCGUCGCGCAAGCAUGUUAGUGUAAUGAAUGCAGUUUGCACUUCUUGGGGCAGCAUGCAUGCAGGGUCUCAUGCUCAUCAGAUUCUACGCCACAACUCGUAGGAGGUACGUACUACUUACUAGCACGCGCAGCGCACAUCGACGGCGUCCACAGAACUUUCAGCCAUGCACAACGUCUCUUCAUCUGAACUUGUCGACGAACGGACUACUGAACUGCGUAAAGCAACCAGCAGUAACUUGUGUCUGGAUUAGUGGCGCACGGACUGAGACUUGAAGCUCCUGUAAUUUACGGGCCUUGCGAUUUUAGAUAUCCUAACAUUUUUUGUUGGCUCGUGUACAUGCUCACAAGUUCUUCUGUUCUUGUGGUUAUCUUGUGCUCUGUGCUGUAGCGACAUAAGGCUAUGGGGCGGAAAUGUGGUGGAUAGCCAUUUUGGCGUGUUCAUUUCCUCCUGGCUUCAUGAAACUGUACCUAACAAGAGAGGACGUGUGGUGCCCGGAGUAUUUCAU